rnacentral:miRNA from 1 species
GAGUCUAUCGUGUCUCAAAGC